rnacentral:rRNA from 1 species
GACGAACGCUGGCGGCGUGCUUAACACAUGCAAGUCGAACGGAGAGGCCCUGCUUGCAGGGUACUCGAGUGGCGAACGGGUGAGUAACACGUGGGUGAUCUGCCCUGCACUUCGGGAUAAGCUUGGGAAACUGGGUCUAAUACCGGAUAGGACCGCACUUUAGUGUGUGUGGUGGAAAGUUUUUUCGGUGUAGGAUGAGCUCGCGGCCUAUCAGCUUGUUGGUGGGGUAAUGGCCUACCAAGGCGGCGACGGGUAGCCGGCCUGAGAGGGUGUACGGCCACAUUGGGACUGAGAGACGGCCCAGACUCCUACGGGAGGCAGCAGGGGGGAAUAUUGCACAAUGGGCGCAAGCCUGAUGCAGCGACGCCGCGUGGGGGAUGAAGGCCUUCGGGUUGUAAACUCCUUUCGCUAGGGACGAAGCUUUUUGUGACGGUACCUAGAUAAGAAGCACCGGCUAACUACGUG